UGUGGCACCGUAUUUCACAGUCACUCGACAAAUUCAGACUGUGGUUGUGAAAAUGAAGUUAUGACCAACAUAAAAAACAGUGGGAGUAGUGGGACUGCCA